UACGUCAUGUGCGUACGGUUCGGCUCGAGAGAGGUCAGCCACCAAACCCUCCUGACUAGGUCGUUCUCGAAGCCUGCCGCCGCCGCGGAAGGCUUGCCCAGAUCCAGCGGGGUACGGCGAGCUUCGGGAGCCCCGGCCGGUGAGCGAUGGAAGAUGCUAGGCUCGAGUUCCUGCUUGAUGCAGUGGACAGGAUUCCGCUCCGUGAAGGGUUCGUGGACAGUGCAGAUCAUCCUGAUACGGUCCCUCUGGCGGUGCUCCCGCGAGCUGAUGUCGCCCCUACUGCUCAGGUGGACUCAAAUGGCGGCUCAGGCAAUCAAUGGCGACAAGGUCUGCUCAAUCAACGGACAGGGUGAACCCGAGGCUCCGGCUUAGGCAAAAAGUUCAGAAGUUACUAAACUACAAGACUAUUCAGCGGUGGCACAAAAGGUGGUGAGGAAUAGCGACUACGAGGAAAGACGCGGUGCAGCCGGCGACGACGACUAUCGCCUGCUCUCUGGUAAGGCCUCCAUCUUUUCUCUCUUUUUGUGUCAAUUUGAAGUUUUGAACUAUACACAAGUGCAAACUAGUUCGGCUCAAGAAAAGUAUAAACAAGACACAACCCUCUUAACAAUGCCUUGCUGAUGUAAAUAUCUGAAGCCUUCCUGGCACUUGAUUCAGCAGAUUCUCGAUUUCUCGUCAAUCGUUUUCUUCUUUCUUGUAUCACCGCCCUCCCGGGUACAACGGAAGACGACGAACAGUUUGAUGGCUUUUUUUUUUGUCUUUCUCAGCUGUUGUUAUAUCUUAAUUAGGAAUUCACUUUUCAUUUAGUGUUAAUAUGGAUACGAGAGUGGAUCAAACUAGGAGUAAUCUGCUGCUUCUUAAUGUUGGAUAAUUGGAUCGAGAUUCACCCUCUCUAAUCAUUAUUAGCUUGCCAUAUUCUUGAACCUCAACAAGUCAUGAAGAAUCCCAUACUUCUUUCCAGUUUAAUAUUGGCAAUUCACCCUUGUUGUUUACAUAUCGCUAAUCCGUUGCGGAAUUAUCAAAUUGUCUAAAUUUUCUCUUCCAGUACAGUGUUUCCCUUUUGUUUCCAACUUUAUGAAUUCAUAGUAACUUUACUGAUUUGGAUGAGCUGAGGAUGAAAGAAGAGAUCAGUGCUGCCGCAUGGUGCUUCCCAUUCGAGCAAUUGCGGUGUGUAGAAAUGCUUUAUGACUUGCAUUCCAGCCGAUGAACUAUGGUUGUAUUGUCGCAUUAGGCCACAUUUUUGUCCUGUCAGAUAUCAGUGUAUUUUUAUUUUAUUUGCAAUUAUUUCACUCUUUUUUCUCAAUUUAUAUUUGGUCUAUAUGGACC